UUGACCUCGAAUCAGGUAGGAAUACCCGCUGAACUUAAGCAUAUCAAUAAGCGGAGGAAAAGAAACCAACAGGGAUUGCCCCAGUAACGGCGAGUGAAGCGGCAACAGCUCAAAUUUGAAAUCUGGCCCCCCGGGGCCCGAGUUGUAAUUUGCAGAGGAUGCUUUUGGCGAGGCGCCUUCCGAGUUCCCUGGAACGGGACGCCAUAGAGGGUGAGAGCCCCGUCUGGUCGGACGCCGAGCCUCUGUAAAGCUCCUUCGACGAGUCGAGUAGUUUGGGAAUGCUGCUCUAAAUGGGAGGUAUAUGUCUUCUAAAGCUAAAUACCGGCCAGAGACCGAUAGCGCACAAGUAGAGUGAUCGAAAGAUGAAAAGCACUUUGAAAAGAGGGUUAAACAGUACGUGAAAUUGUUGAAAGGGAAGCGCCUGUGACCAGACUUGCGCCCGCCGGAUCACCCAGCGUUCUCGCUGGUGCACUCCGGCGGGCACAGGCCAGCAUCAGCUCGUCUCGGGGGACAAAGGCGGCGGGAACGUGGCUCCUCCGGGAGUGUUUAUAGCCCGCCGUGCAAUGCCCUGGGGCGGGCUGAGGACCGCGCGUACGCAUGGAUGCUGGCGUAAUGGUCAUCAGCGACCCGUCUUGAAACACGGACCAA
rnacentral:rRNA from 1 species